rnacentral:tRNA from 1 species
GAAUGUAGCCAAGUGGUAAGGCAUCAGGUUUUGGACCUGUGUAGCGUUGGUUCGAGUCCAACUAUUCC